rnacentral:rRNA from 1 species
GACGAACGCUGGCGGCGUGCCUAAUACAUGCAAGUAGAACGCUGAAGGAGGAGCUUGCUUCUCUGGAUGAGUUGCGAACGGGUGAGUAACGCGUAGGUAACCUGCCUGGUAGCGGGGGAUAACUAUUGGAAACGAUAGCUAAUACCGCAUAAUAGUAGAUGUUGCAUGACAUUUGCUUAAAAGGUGCAAUUGCAUCACUACCGGAUGGACCUGCGUUGUAUUAGCUAGUUGGUGAGGUAACGGCUCACCAAGGCAACGAUACAUAGCCGACCUGAGAGGGUGAUCGGCCACACUGGGACUGAGACACGGCCCAGACUCCUACGGGAGGCAGCAGUAGGGAAUCUUCGGCAAUGGACGGAAGUCUGACCGAGCAACGCCGCGUGAGUGAAGAAGGUUUUCGGAUCGUAAAGCUCUGUUGUAAGAGAAGAACGAGUGUGAGAGUGGAAAGUUCACACUGUGACGGUAUCUGACCAGAAAGGGACGGCUAACUACGUG